rnacentral:rRNA from 1 species
UACGUAGGGUGCGAGCGUUGUCCGGAAUUAUUGGGCGUAAAGAGCUUGUAGGUGGCUCGUUGCGUCGGGAGUGAAAACCUGCGGCUUAACCGCAGGCCUGCUUCCGAUACGGGCGAGCUAGAGUUCGGCAGGGGAGACUGGAAUUCCUGGUGUAGCGGUGGAAUGCGCAGAUAUCAGGAGGAACACCGGUGGCGAAGGUGGGUCUCUGGGCCGAUACUGACACUGAGAAGCGAAAGCGUGGGGAGCGAACAGG